CCUGCUCCUAGAAGGGUUGCAAGUGUGGUUGCUAUGUCACACCUGCAUCAGUAGGUGGCAGAGGGGAGAGAGAGGCUACCUUCAGAGUUCUGACCUAUGAUUAGUAGCCUAA
rnacentral:snoRNA from 1 species